GGUGGUGGUGGUGGUGUGUGUAUUGCAGAGUCAGAAGUGAAGACACAUAUUAAUGAACAUUUAAGUAAGUCUGUAUUUUUCUUGCAUGAUAUAUAUUAGAAGCUGCCCAUGGAAGUGUCCCAAUGAAGAUAGAAAAUGAGUUCAAGAAAUGUGCCCCUAACCACAAUACAAGAAGUAAAUUUGAAAUCUAGUAACUUGAUCCCUUGAUUGAAUGAGUGAUUUAUAUUCCAGGGCAAAAAAAAAAAAAAAAAAAAAUUAGGCCUUGUAGAAGUAAUUUUUUUUUUGUACAGAGGCAAUACAGAACAUCAAUGCCAUAUAUUCUGUACAGAUGAGCAAAAAUUUGAACCUUUGUGGGGUUUAGUGAUCUGAUGUAGCAAAACAAACAAACAAACAAACAAACAAAUAACUUUAACCUCAUUAUACUCCCUAGGUUCUAUAAAAAUUAAAUUAUCUCUUUUUGUUUGCUUAUUUAAGGUAUGUAAUGACUAUGGUCAGAUGUUCUUGUAGGACAGAGAACUAAAUAUUGCAAACAGAGAUUUGGAGGAUAAGUAGGCUGGUGAUUAUAAAGGAAGACAAAGGAACCUAACAAAUACUUUUCAAAGACAUAUGUUAAUCUCUUUAUCAUGGUAGAGAGUCACACACUUUUAUCAACAAGGAAUAUAAACAUAAAUUAGGUUUGUAGAUAUUUUAGAAGAAAUUUAGGUGACUUUGAUAAACAUCUUGGCUUUAAUAGGUCACAUAAUCUAGGUACAGAGGAUAUCAGAUUGACAAGUUUUGCUGCUCAUUCUCCCAGUAAAUGUGUGUUGUGUUAUUUGAGGUAAAUUGCCUGGUGUCCUUAAAUUUUUGUUUCCAUGCUUCUAAAAUAGAAAUACUGACAUCUACUGUUUAUUUUUACUACUUAGCAAAUGAUAUAAAAUAUUAGGAGAGCUACUCAGUCGUCUCAGAGGUUAACCACAUAUGUUCCCUGCAUCCAAGUAGAGCAGUUUAAAAAUUUCUGGAGCCAUGGCACUACAUCAACAUUCAUGUAUACAAACCUCCACAAAUACAUACACAUGCAUGUAAGUUAAAUUAUUUUAAAUAACUUUAUUUUAAUCUGGGUACUCAAUGUAAUAAUUUGAUAUUUUUACUUUAUCACAUAAUAUAUAAUAAUAGUUACUGAUACUUUGUGUCAAAUGUUUUAUUAGUGAUUACCUACAUGAUCAUAGCUACAAUUUAUAUACUGAAAGCAUUUGUACUCAUUUUGAAUGUUCAGAAUAAUGGUCUGUUUAAACUGAGCUUAGGAAUGGAAAAAUAGUUUCUGUAAUUUCUUUCAGAAUUUCAAAUUCUAUGGUUGUGAUAAUACCGUAGGAUCCCAAAAAUUAACUUAAUAACUGUAUGGAAAAUAAGUUUGUCAUUCAGAUUCCCCGAUUUGCCUAGACUGACUGAACAGCAAAGCAUAACGAUCCUUGUGUGUGUGGCUCUGCAGCUCUGGAAUGGGAGUUUGAAUUCAGAUCCUAGUGGGCAAGGCAAGCACUUUACUCUGCAGUUCCCAGAACUGGACUGGUUUCAGAUAUAAUAAAAUUACCUUAAUUGAUACCUUUCCCUGCUUUUUAUGAUGGAAAUUGAUAAAUUAGUCAUUCUAAAUGCACAUAUAAUUUAAAAAAGUAUUUUUUUAAUGACUGAGUUCUGUUUAGUGUAUGAUUUCUUAUUAGAAGAAAUGAAGUGAGGGGCUUUGUUAUUGUCGUUGUUGUCAUUGUUGUUCUUGCUGGGCUGCAUAUCAGAGUGGACUGCAUGAUUACAUUGCUGUAGGUUGACAGCUCAUGCUUUUCCUCACCUUGGUAUUUCUCAUUUAAUGUGCCCUAACCGUCUGACAAAAUAAAAGUUGUCUACAAAAGC
rnacentral:lncRNA from 1 species